UACGGAGGGUGCAAGCGUUAUCCGGAUUCACUGGGUUUAAAGGGUGCGUAGGCGGAUAGGUAAGUCCGUGGUGAAAUCCUGCAGCUUAACUGCAGAACUGCCGUGGAUACUAUCUAUCUUGAAUAUCGUGGAGGUUAGCGGAAUAUGUCAUGUAGCGGUGAAAUGCUUAGAUAUGACAUAGAACACCCAUUGCGAAGGCAGCUAACUACGCGAUCAUUGACGCUGAUGCACGAAAGCGUGGGGGAUCAAACAGG
rnacentral:rRNA from 1 species